rnacentral:piRNA from 1 species
GUAGUUGGCUUCACCACCCACC